GUCCAUGUGGAAGGGGUGCCCUGGGCAGAGGCAGAACUCCAGAAAACAGUGUAUGGAAAACUGCCUGCUCUGAGCAGGAGGCUGAGGAAGAGAAGAGGCCAACAGAAUGAGACAGGAGAGCCCAGUACUUCCCAAAAGGGAUCGAACUUGGGACCUUGUGCUUGCAAGGCAGGCAGUGGAACUAUUUAGCUAAAUCCCCGGCCCCAGAUGCAACUUUUUGAUGCAAGAUUUGAAGUGGCUCAAAAAAUACCACACAAGGAAAGAAAAUAUUCCAUCAUGUGCCUUUCGGGACAGAGAAGCUUUUCAAAGAAAAUUCUCAUCUGCAACAGAUUUUACUAGGCUCUUUUCCAAACCAGCCCUCUAAAUCAGUUUUAAUACUUUUUAGUGAAGAGAGAUUCAACAAUAACUACCUUUAUUCACCUACAGAAGCAUAUUUUAGAAACAUCCUAGCAAGUGCUUAAAAACAAUAAUCGUUUUAUGCCCCAUAUGGUCUUCACAGAGCCCAUUACCAGGUGCUCCAGAAAGAGCAAAAACACCAAAAUGUUCCUAAAUAUACAACUUCAGCUUGCUCACUUCUUCUGGGAACUUCUUCGGGGCCCCAAUGGCUGUCUAUCUUGUAGCCUGUAAAAUGAAGCAGGUGUUCACCUAACCAGCUCUAGUUAUAGAGCUCUUGUCCAGCAAUUACCUCAAUGCACGUGAAAUUUGGAUUUUUAGAAAUCACACUUCCAACUCUGUUACAUAAAAUAUCUUGGCACAAGGUUCAGUUUUGCCUCUUUUUGUGGUCUGAUAUAUGCCCAUGCUCGACUACAAUCUAAAGCUAACAUAACUCUGUAGUGAGACUAAAUGCCAUUUCUUCAGAGUGUGAGAAGAAAAGACAUUUUCAUCUCCUGCUUCAGAAGAAAACCUAUCAAGUGCUAAGUGCAUGAACGAACAAUGAAAGCACAAUCUUGUGAGUGUUUUCUGAUAGUUAAUUGGUUGGCUGAAAAAAAUAAAUGAAAAGUGUCUAGUGAAUACCUCAAGCUCAAUUAGGAAAAUUUUCUGAAAGUGCUUAUUCCAAUAGACUUCCUAAAGAAAGUAUUUUUUUUUUGCUCAAAUGAAGGAGACAGCUGUGUGAAGUUUUUUUCUUGGUACUGGGGAUUGAACUCAGGGCCUUUGCACGGAGCUACAACCCCACACACUUUUUUAGUUUUUAUUUUCAAAUAUGGCCUCACUAAUUUGCUGAGGCUGGGCUUGAACUUGUGAUUCUCCUGCUUCACCCCCCAAGAGUGCUGGGAUUAUAGGUGUGUACCCCCACACCGAGCUUGUUAAUUUUAUAUUUCUAUACUUCCUGCCAUGACCAAGAUAUGGCAGGUGUUCAGUAACAGUUGAACUAAAUCAACUGUUGAAAAUUGGUGAAGUAUAUGCAAAGGAAAUUAAAUCAUCUCAUCAAAAAGGUAUAUGCAUUCUUAUGCUUACUGCAGCAGUGUGCAUCAUAGUCAAAAUGUGAAAUCAACCAAGAUAUCUGUUAACAGAUGGGUAAAGAAUGGAUAAAGAAAAUGUGGUAUUCAUACACAAAUGGAAUAUUAUUCAACCAUAACAAGGAAUGAAAUCUUGUCAUUUGCAGCAAAAUGGAUGGACUUGGGUGACAUGAUAGUAAAUAAAAUAAGACAGAUACAGAAAGACAAAUACUACAAGUUCACAUUUAAAAGGUAAUUUGAAAAUAGAAUGGAAAUUACUGGAGGCUGGGGAAGACAUGGAGAGGUGGGUAGAAGGAGUUUGGAUAACAAGAACCCAAACACAGUUAGGUAGAAGGACAGCUCUAGUGUUCUGCAGCAUAGUAGGUUGACUAUAGUUCACAGAAACCAAAAAUAUAUUUUACGAAGAACUAGGAGAAAUGGCAGCCCAAAGUCUUCCAACGUAAUGAAAUGAUAAGGUGGUGGAAAUCCAAGUAUCCUGAUUUGAUCAGUAUACAUGAUCAGUAUACAUGAUUUGAUACUGUAUACAUGUACUGAAAUAACCUACUGUACCUUAUAAAUAUGUACAAUUAUUACCUGUUGAUUAACAGAAAAAAAUUAAAUUAAAAAAAAAGAAUUAGCAGAAAUCUAAUUUUGUACACUUUGCCUGAAAAGCAAGAACAUGGUCUCUGGAGCCAAGCAUGCCUCAGUUCAAAAUCUGUCUCUACUGUUUACCUGCCCUAAGCCGGGGCAGUGUAACCACAGUUCAUCUGCUGGUCCUCGUAGAACACCACAGAUAGCACAGGCUGGUGACUCAGCACAGUGGAAAGGAGGCUGUGAUUAUGAGGCCCUCAAAUGAAACCUUGACCAUCAUCAUCAUUGGAAAAUGAGUUUUCACCUAGGAAUCCCACUCAAUUCCUCUCUGCGAUUCUGUUAGUUCAUGUUUAUUUCUAAAAACUUCAUUCAAUUUCAUGCUUUAGGUAAAGUAGGGAACCUACCAGUUUUUUUCUGAUGUUGGAUGAAUCCUGAAGUAGUUGUUUUUUUCUAAAUAUCGGGUGGAAUUACUGGGUAUAUGCUAAUAUAAAAAUAUAAGAAACUGGCUAAAUGGAUAUUGGACCCAACACAUUCUGAGAAAUAUUUUAUUGCUGAUUUUUCAAAAGCCAUGAUAUAAAUUUGUUUCCUUAGGAGUACCUGACUUCUUUCUCCUAAAAAACUGCAGAAAAUGUUUAAAUAGGUCAUCCUAUUGGUUAAUGUGGUAACCAUAGUCAACACACCUGCCUGACACACAGCACUUGGGAAUGUGGCACUGGAAACCAGGCUUCCACCUGCCCAGGUGUCUAAGAAGAAACAGAGAAGGUGGGUGGCACAGGCAUCAGCCACCGCCACAAAUCACUGGGCAAUCCCCAAAGACAUGAACUGUGGAGAGGACUGUCAUCACACACUGGCCUUCUCAGUGACAGCACACUCGGGUGCACACAGGGCGCUUUGUGGGCCAUCCAGGGAGCAUCCUUGAAUCACCAAGGACAGAAUGCUGGCAGAGGGAGUCAGCAAGCAACUACUGCAUCCAUGAGCUGGGCUGGGAGGAUGAAAGGCUCAGCGGCAGCUGAGAGGGAAAAGGUCCUGCUGCAGAGCCCUCAGGAAAGCUUCACCACCUUGUCACUUUCAGAAAGCUCUGCCAAUGCUAGUGAGGAAUGUGUGCUCGCCCCAGAGUCCCUCACUACUUGACAUAGAGUUGCUGAUUUCACUGUCAUCAGAGACCUGAUGAACUACAACACCCAAUCUUGCUCAGCAUCAACAAGAACAACGGACAUCCUGGGAGGCCUGGGAGCCUGGAUUUCUGAUGGGGGAAUCUAAAAUACUUCUUGUACCAUGGAACAUUAGUGAUGUUUUGAAAUCAAAGAAUGAAGACAUUUCUCCAGCUCAGAGUAUUAAGGAUGCUUCUUGUGAUUUGGAAUGAGCAGGCCUGAUGACUUCUGGGCUCUUCCCUCCUAGCUUCAUUACAAUUCCCUGGAAAAGACCUGGCCUAGGGCCCUGUGUGUCUUUGCUCCAGCAGCCCAACACUAGGAAGCAGAGCUUUAAGACAUGGGACUACAGGAAAGCUCUGGAAACCCAGGAGAACCUUCUGUCUCCACUGAGAAAGGCCCCGAAGAAAGCCCAGCUUCCUGGCCACACCUCACUUGGUGCUGGAGUCACCAAAGUCUCUCUUCCUGCCCCACGGUGCCUUCCCUGACACCAGGCUGUCUCCACACCUAUGACCCCCAGGCCUGCCUGUCAUCAUGUGAGCUGGGGAAAGCCACGUUGCCACCCAUUUUUUUGGAUUGUUUCCUAAUGUUCAUGAUUCCUGGCCACUGAGAAGUGCUUCCGGGGACUGGACUUGCAGAGGGGCAGAAGAGGGAGGAGAGGAAAGUGAUAUGGAGAUUGCUGACAGAGUGGAAAGGCAGUGGGAGUUCACCUUCCUUCCCUCCGCUCUCCAGGCCCCGGCACCAGGGUCAGCAGUUCAUGCAGAAGAUAUCAGGAUUCUUUGGAGCAAUUUAUGCUCCCAAAUCCGCACUGACAGCCCAGGCCAAAUUGCCUUCCUAUGUGAAGGUCAUUUGCUCUGUCAAGCACUUGACAAUUGCUCAAAGGGAAAUGAGGGAAUUGUUUUGUAUAAAUGAGUCAACUUCUCUUGAAUUCACACCACUUGCGAUGGACCAUGCCAUGACAGUCAGGGACAAGAUUAUUGCUGAGCUUUCAGUCUUACAAAGGUGAGAAAGAAACCAGACAACAGCUCAAUGGCUGCAUAUUUGGACCUAAAGCUGUGUGAAUCUGCUCUGGAAGGCACUACAUCCUGCACUGCAGCUGCAAUUGGAGCAGGGAGACAGCGGGUGUGGUGAAAGGUGCGUCUGGAAAUGCAGAACUCCUGAGGAUGUGGAGCAUGUGGCCUCACAAAAGCAGAACUUCCUGCAUCACGGUCUCUUUCCAAGGUUUAGCAAUUACGAAUUGUGCUGCUAUAAACACAGGUCUCUUAAAGUUUCUGGCUGAAAACCAAAGGACUUAAAGGAAAAAUGGCUGUGUGAAAGCUAAUGGCAAGCAGCAGAUUCCGGUCCAACUCUCCUCCUGACAAUUGCCGACGGCCUUUCAAGGGAUCGUCUCCCACUAGGUCCCCAUGAGGCACUUGAGAUGCUCUGACACCAGGUGAAGGACUUGUUCCCCUGCUACUGCAGUGCAGCCUGCAGAGCCCCAGCUCUUGGCUACCAGAGGCCUCCCCUCCUUCCUGGAGAAGGCAGCAGCCAGUGGCUCACUGAUAUGGAAGACUAAGGGCUAGAUCACUUCACCACCUCUGGGACAACACAGAGAAUGAGUCAAGGACCAUGGAGGCUACAUUGCAGCUCCAUGCCACUUCCUCCUUCCUCUCCUUUCCUUCUCUUCCUAUCCAUCCCCAGGUGAUGACCACAAUGCUCCAUCCAGAGGCAAGAACAACUGGACCAGAGUGAGCUGACUGGAGAUGAGGGGGUUUGGGUUCAAACCCUGAUGAAUUCAGCUCAACCAGUGAAUUACCAUUUGUAUGCCAUUUAUAAUAUACGCCAUUUAUACUGGGUUCUACUGACACUAUACCCUAAAGCGGUAAGCGAUAUUUGCUCCUUAUUUUACAAAGACUUCAACAAGAGACAAAAGAUGACUCAAACUCAGAUAAAAGUAGUCAAAAGUCUAAAGGUACCAUUGUAAGAUCAAACAUAUCCUCAUAUCCUCAGAAAAGCAGGGCAAGGCUGACCCGAAGUCAAGAUGUGGGGAUUUUAUCUGAGUCACUUAACCCAGUUAGUCAUUAACUGAGUUUGCCAAAUGAGCCUAAACUAUCUCCCUAAUAGAAACAAUAGGAAUCACAUGUUAGACUUGAGCAAAUGUGGUUGUUUGAACUCCAACUGGACUUUUCCUGAAUCUUUGAAGACUCCUAAUCAUAUUUGGCCAGGGAGGCAUACAUAAUUGUCUUUUUUUGUACUGGGGAUCGAACUCAGGACCUUGCGCUUGUGAGGCAGGUGGCAGCACCACUGAGCUAAAUCCUCAGCUCCGUAAUUUUUUAUAACAGUACUUCAUAUGUUUAGCUAUGUCACUAAAGUUCACAUCAAGAACAGACACCUUGGCUGGAUUUUUCAACCUGGCCUGUGAAAGCCUGCAGCACCCACCCCUGCCAGAUAUUGGUGCAUUCACAGUGUUUAGAAAGCCCCAGGAAUGAAGGUGCAUCCAGCUCACUUUUCACAUCAAGGGACACAUACACACGCACGCACGCGCACAACAUCCACAGGUCAAAAGGAACCAGGAAAAGGGAAAAAAAACACUUUAUUCACAAAAUGUAUUUUUAAACAUCAUUUUUCCUGUGCAGCUGUCUGGCCUGAUUCCAUCAUGAAAAGCAAAUGUUUAAAACAGUAUACUAAUUAAAAAUAAAUUAUUUUAAAAAUUGACCUCUGGAUCAAAAUGUGUUAGUAUUAGAAAGGAUCUUAAAAUUCAUUUUAUAAAACAUUUUGUGUAUGUAGAUAAAGAAAUGGCACUAGAUAGGUGCAUUGCUGGUUAGGGUUGAACCUUGGCUUUGCUGACACAAGGACUCUGCUAUAAUCGCAGUUAUGACAUUCUGUGACAAUUACCUCACUUGAGAAUUCCCAGGCUCUUCCUUAAGUAGAAAAGAUGUUAUCUCCUCCAGGUAAUGCCAAAAAUAUUAGGUGCCUUGCUUGACAUUUCACAGCUAAUAAGCUCACGUUAUUGCUUAAAAUUUUUCAAUGGUUCUUACAUUUUGAGAUCAAAGGCUUCCUGGCCCCACCUUCUCACAGGCUCCGCCUUCUCCCUGGCUCCACCUCCUGAAGGCUCCACCUCCUCCUGGUCUCUCGGUGUCUGAGGUGAAAUGUCUUCUCCCCGGGAAGCUGCCGGGCAGGCAGGAGUCCCAGCACUACUGGUAACUAUGCAAAAUGAGCCCUGUGAACCCCUGACAUUAGGUUGCUUCUAUGAAAUGCAAAGCCUGUGCUAAUCCACUUCUAGGACUGCAUCUGAAGAUCUGGUUUGGGCUCAUGAUAGGCACAGAGGUAAGGGAACUGCAUGAUUCUGACAGGACUCACAUGCCAGGACUCCAAUAAAGGAAAGUUCCUGACCUUGAAUGAGCUGAGCAUUAGCAAGUGUCUCAUGGGUGCAGCUGAAAUACGUUACACUAUGGAACCCUUCAUUAAGGGUCAGGUUCCAGAGGUGUAUGUCUGUGGCAUCUUCUCAAAUACUUCAUGUGAGUAGGUGGCUCAGCCCCCAUAUUGUGAGCUCUGAAGCACUUUCUGCUCAAACCUGUGGCCUCAAGGUUGGUCCCUGAAUCCCACUAGGUGACAGCUAGGAAGAUUUUAAAUGGAGAAGAGGAGCAAAACGCUAAAACACAAGUUUUAUUUUUAAUUUUUUUUUUUAAGACAGGGUCUCACUACAUAGUUCAGGCUAGCCUUGAACUCACUAUGUAGCCCAGGCUAGUCUCGAACUCACAGCGAUCCUCCUGCCUCAGUCUCCAGAGUGCUAGAAUUAUAGGCGUGCACCACCCUGCUCUGCUUCAAGUUUUGUUUCUAAGAAAUUGUUACCAGCUGAUUAAAAUAUAUAUAAAGCGUU